CAACUCUAGCACUUCCAAAAGAAAAAGUCUCUGAGGAAAAAUUACAGUACUGCAUGUUACUAUCCGAAAUACUUCAACAUCAUCUUUCUUGCAGAUUUGAUUCAUCCAGGCAAGAUUUCUGACCAAGUAACCAGGUACAGGGUUAAAUUGAAGAUUCAGAGACCAAGAGCUCAGAACCCAUGCAUGACAGGAAGUUGUUCCAGCAAAGGGAAAAGAAUGAAAUCCGUGGAUAAGAAAG
rnacentral:lncRNA from 1 species